GUAAGUGACCGAGUCGGCGAGUCGGCCAAGGUGACUCGGCGAGUCUGGUCUGUGCGAGGAAAACCCUAAUUCUGGGAGUUGUAUCAUAUAUAAAGGGCGUUAUGUCCCUCCGUCAGCCCCCAUAUCACUCCAGAGGACUUGUAAACCCUAUAAUUCGUGUGAGCUUCCAUUAUUGAGAGAAAUAGCUUUGGAGGAAGGAGACUUUGGAGACGAAACUUGCAGAUCAAGAAGGUUGCUUCAAGGGAGAGGUGUGUGCUCGAGAUCUACUUCAGUUGUGUUCAUCUUGGAGGUAUUAAGCUGCCAUUUUCCCUUCUUUGCGUCUAUAUCUAUUUUGCCAUGAGAUUUAGGGGUUUUUAUGGUUGUUUGAGACUCAAAUCGGGUUAGGGGCUUAGAUAUGUUGUUGCCACUUCAGAUCUAUGGUUGGGUGAGUCCAUUAUGUCAUAAAGCAUCAGGAGAUGAGUAGUUGGUGAAGCCCUUGUGUCCUUAAACCAAGCCCUAAUGUGUUUUGAGCCUAGAUCUCUUUAGUUAUACGUAAAGUUUGCAACUUUACGUAGGGAUUGAGCUUUGGAAGUAUGGAUCUAUGGAUUGGAGUCCCUGCAUGACUCAAAAGCCCUCUGCAUGUUGGGAGAUCUGAAUAGACUCGGCGAGUCCUUUGAGUGGACUCGGCGAGUACCAUGAAGAUGAGGAGGAACUCGACGAGUGGGAUGAACAGCUCGUCGAGUCGGAUGAAGAUGGGCAUGAACUCGGCGAGUUGGAUGAACAACUCGUCGAGUUGGAUGAAGUUUGUCGUGUGCUCGGCGAGUCUGUUCUUAGACUCGGCGAGUCAGGUCGAGUGGUCCCAAACCCUUCGAGUUAAGACUCGAGUCAGCGAGUCGAGCCAGGACUCAGUGAGUUGGACGGGACAGGAAUCGGGAAUCAGUAGACUCGGCGAGUCAGGGGCUGACUCGGCGAGUAGAGUCGCGAGUGGAAGGACUCUGGACUUAUGAACUCGGCGAGUCAGUAGGGUGACUCGACGAGUAGGGUUGACCUGGAACGUUGACUUUGUCAGGACUUUGACUUUGACCUGAGUUGACUUUGUCAGUUAGACUCAGUGUUGCUUUGUUUUUGUUAGCUCGGGAAGCAAGUAGAGCAGGAGUUCAGUCAGUGAACGGGUAGCGGUCAAAGGGUCUAGCAGCAGCAGUUCAGCAGUAUCAGGUGAGUCUCCUCACUGUUUGUAUGGGUCUAGGGCACCAAUGCCGGCCCAUUUAGAAUAUGCAUGAAAGACCAGGGGGCGGCUCCUGGCACACAGUAUGUUACGUGGUAUGGUAGGAAGACCCGGGGGUUAGCCCUAGGCAAUAUGUAUGAAAGACCGGGAGGUGGCUCCUGGCGCAUUGUAUGCUAUAGAUAUGAAAGACCAGGAGGUGGCUUCUGGCACACUGUAUGCUGUUUAGCUAAGUAGAGUAGUAUGUACGGUUGUCUUUGUGAUACUUGCAUAGAAGACCAGGGGGUGGCCCUUGGCACUUGUCUGUAAGACCGGGGGGUGGCCCUUGGCAUUUGUCUGUAAGACCAGGGGGUGGCCCUUGGCACACGUCUGUAAGACCAGGGGGUGGCCCUUGGCACUUGUCUGUAAGACCCAGGGAGCGGCCCAGGCUUGACCAGGAAGACCACGUGCGGCCCGUGGCAUAAUGGCAAGACUAUGUUUGGCACAUAGCACCUUACUUGGUUAUGGAUAAGUCAGUUAUGUAUGAUUCUUGGCUAUGAAUGGUUUGUAUGGUAUGUGGUAUCUGGGGAACUCACUAAGCUUCGUGCUUACGGCUUUCAGUUUUGGUUUCAGGUACUUCCGGUAGCGGAUGAUGGAGCUCGGGAUGAUCGCAUGGCACACACCAUAGAUUAGUCAGCCUGGGAAUGUUUUACUCUGAUAAUGAACAUGUGUUUUGAAAACUAAUACUCUGUUUAUGUUUUGAAAUGAUGAUUUUACUUUAAGUGAUACUUUAUUAAAAGAAAUUUUUAGUCUUGAAUUUUGGGACGUUACAAAUUGGUAUCAGAGCCUUGGUUUGAGGGAUUCGGGCAUACUCUCGGGUGUGCCUGAACUCAAACUGAGGGGUCGGAUAAAAAGUUUUCAAAAGUGAAAAGACAGUUUUGUAAAAAGAAUUUUGAGAACGAAAAACAGUUUUAGAAAAGCAAAAAGAAUUCAGAAAGAAAAGAACUUUGAAAAGAGAAAAGAGGUGUGGUGCAUGCAAUCAACCGAGCUCAAGUAAGUACCCCAAAAUACCCAUACAAGUUUAUGUUAUGAUUAUCAGUUGAUAGAACAGCAUGCUAGAAUAGGACUAAGGAUCUAGGGAUGAUGCCUUAUGUGCCUGUUAUUUGUGCUUUUGAGCUGCAUAGUAGUGCUGAUUAGACAGUAGUAGGAUAGCCUGUUUAGGUUAUGCCUGAGUUUAUGAGUUUGUGUUGCAUGCUAGUUCAGAUUCUUGCUAUGUGGAUAUGAUUGCUUGAGUAUGUUGUGGUUAGAUUUUCCCCUUGUCCGAAUGCUGCUUGCUUUGUGCAUUGUGGGAUUUUGAGUGAUGGGAGUUAGCCAUUAGAUGGAUACGUUACGUCACAUGUGAUCAGGGUUGAAUAAUCUCAGAGUGCUGGAUUUGGCCCUAUUGCGCAGCUCUCGUUUGAGUCUAACCGUUGUAGGGACGAGUCUUUUACUCGAAGGAUUAUCUGAGCCUCGUCACAUGUGAUGGUAUCCAGGUGAUGGCUAAUUGGCAUCACAAGGAGACCUUCAGCAGCUGAGGACUGGUUUGAGUUGAGUCAGAGGUUUCCCUAGGGUAAGCCUAGGAUGAGAUAGUGCUGGGAGCAGUAUUAGUGGAUAAGGGACCUGGUGGAGUCAAAGCAAUUCCUGAGGAAAGUACGGAUAGAUGUGGAAGGUAGUAUGGGCCCGUACUACUGAAAGCAGAGGAUCCGUACUCGAUUCGGGAAGGGCCGAGACAAGACCGGGAACCUGGUAGGGCAUGUUUGGUCUCGCAUCAGUGAUGAGUAUUCUGAUAGUGGUUGUGGUAUAUUUUCAGCAUGGUGACAUUGCGAGAGAGACCAGCGGGCGGAUCAGGCGCCGGAGAGGGAUCAGGCUCGGGUUCAGGGGCCGAGCAGCUCGAGGAGCGGAUGAGAGAGUUGAUAUCAGCUGAGGUUACGCGCAGUAUUCUAGCUCAGACUCCUGUGAUCUUUGGCACGGUCAAGGAGGGUAUAUUGGAGAUUUUGGAUGAGAGGUUGGGAGCCUUCCGUACUGAGAUGAUGGCAUUGAUGGGAGCGUGUACCUUGACAUUUCGAGAGUUCAGAGCCUGCGGGACACCAGAUUAUCAUGGGGCUAGGGACCCCAUUGCUAGCAGCAAAUGGCUGGCCGAUGUUGCCAACGCUUUUCAUACCAGCAAGUGUCCCGAGGGGGACAAAGUUAGACUCGCUUCCUGUCUUCUGAAGGACAGAGCGAGGGAUUGGUGGGAAGAGAUUGGUCAUGCUCUGGGAGAUGAUGCCACGUUGGACGCGAUGACUUGGAGCGAUUUCUCGGCUAGGAUCAGGGCGGAGUUUUCGCCAAUGAUUGAGGUGCAGCAGCGGGCACGAGAGUUUCAGGAGUUAACGCAGACUACUGAGACUGUGGCGGAGAUCACCGCCAAGUUCAGGGAGAGGGCUCUUCUUGUACCGCAGUAUGUCGCGGAUGAGGAAAUGAAGAAGGCUCGGUACCAUGAGAUGUUGAGAGCCGACAUCAGGGAGUUCGUGAGCAGGUCCGGCUGUAAGACGCUGGAAGAUAUGAUUGCUAGGGCUCGAGAGAGGGAGAUUGAUCUCGAGAUGGAGAAGAAGAGGAAACCGGAGGCGGUUUCGGGUUCAGGAGGUUCGGGCAAAAGGCCCAAGGUUUCAGAUCACAGAUCCAGCAUUCGGCAGGGCCGAAGUCAGUGCAGCACGUGCGGGAAACCGCACGAGGGAGUGUGUCGUUCCAGGGGUUCCGGCUGCUACAAGUGUGGCAGUGAUGGUCACGUCAGCAGGGACUGCCCAUGGGGGGCAAGCCCAUUAUGUUUUCACUGCAAUCAGGUGGGCCAUAAGAGGACCAACUAACCGAUGAUGAGGGGAGGAGCAGGGAGUGCGCCUGCCCCAGCGACUAUGAGGAUUACGGAUGGGCGAGAGGGUAGUGCCAUGCAGUGACAGGUGCGGAGGAUCCGGACUACAUGAAGGAACGUUGCAGGUACGUAUCUUUGACUAUUUUCAUUCCUAUUUGAAUUAUGGAAGUUUUUGCCCUGGAAUCAGGCGAUUCUAUGUAUGAUUUGUUUCUCUACUUGUAUGUGGACUGUAUUUUGGAAUUGUCAUAUGCCAAUUGCAUGCCAGGAGCUAUUAGUAGCUAGUGUAGGUCAUCUUUCACUUCGGGUUUGAAGUGUUCAGUAUCAUCUCAGGUACGGUUGAAAAUAAUUCGGGAAGUGGUUAGCCACCAUCAUCGGGAUUUGAUGGUUCUAAUCUGGGCGUUCGGGAUGGCUUUCGGAAGCAUCAAGGAAAAUGGCUUAUCACCAAGGAGUAUGUGCCCAGUUAUUCAGACUGUAAGGACAGUAGUCAGAGCUUAGAGGAUUUAUUUAGCAUCAGAGAUGCGGGCGGUGUUCAUCUAGUAUUCAGUAAUCAUGCGACAGAUGGAGUGGGCUAGAGACAGAUCAAUAGCAGGGAUAGGGCGAUGGUGGUUACCAUGCCUAUCAUGUAAGGAAGGAAGGAAUGGAAUUCUUCGGGUUUUCACAGGCAGUGAAGACUUAGCUGAGGCUAAGUGGGGGAGAAACAAUCAGGUUAUGGGAGUAGACGGGGUCUUGAAAUUGGGAUUAAUUCAUUUUCUUGUAGUAAGAAAGACGGCUCAGGUGACUAUAUGUUUGGAGGAUAGAGUAAAUUGGAAGUUUGGAAAACUUGCCAACCGUGAGAUCUCAUUCUCGAAAUUUCCGUUCGCGGAUUACGUAGGAAUCGGUUGGGAGUUCCAUUUGGAACAUGAGUACCACCUGGGAGUACUCGAUGGUGUUGUAUGAUCAACUAUGGGGUUGGUCGUAGCAUUCCCUAGCAGCUAGUCGGGAUGGAAAGGUGUUGUCAGGCUACCGGUUGGCCCGUAGCAUUAGAUUGGCAAGACUGCGGUGUGGCCCGUAGCAUUAGAUUAGUAAGACUGCAGGGUGGCCCGUAGCAUUAGAUUGGUAAGACUGCGGCGUGGCACGUAGCAUUAGAUUAGUGAGACUGCGGUGUGGCCGCAUCAAUCGUAUGAGAGUAUGGUUAGACUACGGUGUGAUCCGUAGCACUGAUUAGCAAGACUGCGGGGCGGCCCGUAGCUUUGGUUGGCAGCGUAGAAGUGUUGUAAGACUACGGGGUAGCCCGUAGCAUUUAUCGGUCCCUAUUCGUUAGGGCGAAUGUAUCAGGUGUGUGACUAAGUGGCAGAAUGGAUUGAGCGGUUAUUGGUAAAGUUUCUUCGAAAGUCGCCGGAAGCGACUAGGAGUUGAGUUGGGACUAGCGACCAGUGGGAGCCGGUAAUCCAGAUAUCGGUAGAUUGGUAGGGACCAAGGUGGUCUCAGUUCAUCCGGAAGGCAGAUAUGGAAUAGCAGAAAUUUCUAGCCAGUGGCAGUGCUGGUAAGCAGUCUAUGGUUGAAUUCAGAUAGUUGGUUAAGGGGUGCUAGGCACCAAGUUCUGUCAGAGAGCAGUGUCAGUGGUGAUAGACGGUGAUGACCCGCUCUGGGAACAGCGGGGGUGAUGGAGUUAGUGAAGGAUAAGGUCUUCACAGUGUCAGAGGAGAAGUCGGUUAUGAGGCUUUGCCUUGGGAAGGCAAGUAAUUUGCGCAUGGAAAGAAGGGGUGAACCCCUAUAGGUUCAGUGCAGUGCUUGGUGAGUACCAAAAGGAUUAUCGGUUGAGUAAGUUGUGUUUCUGAGUUGGUACCCGAGGUUUACCUGCGAGGUUUAUGUUAGUCAGAACGACCAGGUGGAAGACCAGCGAAGGUAGGCAGCUGGUGUUGGAUAAUUGGUAAGUAUUGAAGGCGGACCGCAGGCGGUGGGCUAUGGCAAACUUCGAGGACGAAGUUUAAUUUAAGUGGGGGAGAGUUUUAACACCCAAAGUUUUGAAGACCAAGAAAGGGAAGAAAACCCAAAGUUUAGGGGUCGACUCGGCGAGUCCAAGGAGGGACUCGGCGGGUCAGAGCGGGAUCCGGGUCGAUGAGUAAGUGACCGACUCGGCGAGUCGGCCAAGGUGACUCGACGAGUCUGGUCUGUGCGAGGAAAACCCUAAUUCUGGAGGUUGUAUCAUAUAUAAAGGGCGUUAUGUCCCUCCCUCAGCCCCCAUAUCACUCCAGAGGACCUGUAAACCCUAUAAUUCGUGUGAGCUUCCAUUAUUGAGAGAAAUAGCUUUGGAGGAAGGAGACUUUGGAGACGAAACUUGCAGAUCAAGAAGGUUGCUUCAAGGGAGAGGUGUGUGCUCGAGAUCUACUUCAGUUGUGUUCAUCUUGGAGGUAUUAAGCUGCCAUUUUCCCUUCUUUGCAUCUAUAUCUAUUUUUCCAUGAGAUUUGGGGGGUUUUAUGGUUGUUUGAGACCCAAAUCGGGUUAGGGGCUUAGAUAUGUUGUUGCCACUUCAGAUCUAUGGUUGGGUGAGUCCAUUAUGUCAUAAAGCAUCAGGAGAUGAGUAGUUGGUGAAGCCCUUGUGUCCUUAAACCAAGCCCUAAUGUGUUUUGAGCCUAGAUCUCUUUAGUUAUACGUAAAGUUUGCAACUUUACGUAGGGAUUGAGCUUUGGGAGAUCUUAAUAGACUCGGCGAGUACCAUGAAGAUGAGGAGGAACUCGACGAGUGGGAUGAACAGCUCGUCGAGUCGGAUGAAGAUGGACAUGAACUCGACGAGUUGGAUAAACAACUCGGCGAGUUGUAUGAAGAUUUCCUUGUGCUCGGCGAGUCUGUUCUUA
rnacentral:lncRNA from 1 species